rnacentral:misc_RNA from 1 species
AGUUCACAUUGUUAAGGCUUGCAAGGUUGAAGAGACAGCUGGAAAGAUGCUUGGCCAGAUACUUGUUACCAAGCAAACUGGUCCUCAAGGAAAAGUUGUCAGCAAGGUUUACCUGUGUGAAAAGUUAUCGCUUGUCAAUGAGAUGUACUUUGCUAUCAUGCUGGAUCGUCAAACUGCCGGCCCACUUAUUAUUGCCUGUAAAAAGGGGGGAACCAGCAUUGAAGACCUUGCAGAGAAAUUCCCUGACUUGAUUAUUAAGGUGCCCAUUGAUGUAUUUAGAGGAAUUACUGAUGAAGAUGCUGCAAAAGUUGUAGAUGGUUUAGCUCCAAAGGUGGCUGAUAGAAAAGAUUCAAUUGAGCAAGUGAAGAAAUUAUAUAAGCUUUUUUGUGAGUGUGAUUGCACAUUGUUGGAAAUCAAUCCCAUUGCAGAAACUUCAGAUAACCAGUUGGUAGCUGCUGAUGCUAAGCUGAACUUUGAUGAUAAUGCUGCAUUUCGUCGGAAAGAGAUAUUUAAUCUUCGUGAUCCAACGCAGGAGGAUCCUCGAGAGGUGGCUGCUGCCAAGGCAGACUUGAAUUAUAUUGGCUUAGAUGGAGAAAUUGGUUGCAUGGUGAAUGGUGCUGGAUUAGCAAUGGCUACGAUGGAUAUAAUUAAAUUGCAUGGCGGAACUCCUGCCAAUUUUCUUGAUGUUGGUGGGAAUGCAUCUGAGGGCCAGGUGGUUGAGGCAUUUAAAAUAUUGACUUCUGAUGAUAAGGUUAAAGCAAUUUUAGUGAACAUAUUUGGAGGAAUAAUGA